AAAGAUACCUUUUGUAAGUCGCUUUGGAUAAGAGCGUCUGCUAAAUGACGUAAA
rfam:Salmo salar isolate Sally breed double haploid chromosome ssa04, whole genome shotgun sequence.